rnacentral:tRNA from 1 species
GCCUCCAUAGCUCAACGGAUAGAGCGCAAGCUUGCGGAGCUUGAGAUCGAAGUCCGACUCUUCGUGGGGGCA